rnacentral:rRNA from 1 species
UACGUAGGGGGCAAGCGUUGUCCGGAAUCAUUGGGCGUAAAGAGCGUGUAGGCGGCUUGGUAAGUCCGCUGUGAAAGUCGGGGGCUCAACCCUCGGAUGCCGGUGGAUACUGUCGGGCUUGAGUACGGAAGAGGCGAGUGGAAUUCCUGGUGUAGCGGUGAAAUGCGCAGAUAUCAGGAGGAACACCAAUUGCGAAGGCAGCUCGGUGGGACGUUACUGACGCUGAGACGCGAAAGCGUGGGGAGCAAACAGG